CAGAACAGAACACACACGGAUCUGUGUUCAGCGAUCCCGUUCAUGGAGGGUGCGGCUUCGGCUGUUAUUUCUUUGUGUUUCGGUUGAACGCUGGACAGUUCGACGACUUAAGGAGCCAUUCAUCUUGUGGAUGGUUUUUGCACUUCCGGUCGACAGAUCUCAGAUUAAAGGUUGGCGCUGGGUGUUCACUCGGGUCUUGAGCUCCCUUGUUUUCGAACUUGGUGAGCUCGGCUGGAGUUCCUGGUUGCUGACGGCGUCAUAUUCCUACUCCCUUCACCGAAUUGGCCGUCGGUCACUGAGGUUAGGGAAAAACCAUGACCUGCCAACAUUA
rfam:Aspergillus niger supercontig An04